GCAGUAGACACAAAGAUAUCUUGCUGAAGAUCCCUAUGUACCUGAAGUCUUCUGAAAGUAUCGCUUGCAUUUCAGGGUGAAUUCUGAAGAUAAAUGCACAACUUUCAGAUCAGCUGGAGAAGGUACCUUAGAAACUCUCCAAAGACUUGUGAAGUGGUCCAUUCAUCUUAAUGAGAUGCUGCCGAGCAAAUGAGGACAUGUCAGGGAUAUGAGUACAGAUGGAAGAUAUCCCUGGGAUGUCUGCACUGCUCCAUUCAUUUAGGAGGCUCUUACUGUAUUUUCAUCUCUUGUGAGCUUGCUAGUAAUUAGAGCAUAAAAUUUUAUUUUUAGAUAAUUUUACAUUAUUCUGAUACCUAUAGUCCAAUGUAUUUUUUUAGGACUGCUAUGUGCAUGCACUGGAGAGAGAAAAAGGAACUUGGUUUAUUUACCAUAAACAAAAUAAAAUGCCUGAGUUACUCUUGCAUAGUAUUGCACUAAAAACCUGAAUAAAUGAAUGCAAGUAAUUCCGUUUUCGCUUGAAUAAUGUCUUCAUACAGUAUCUCCUGGCUAACACCUAUGCUAGGCCACUUGACGUGUGUAAGACCCUGACAUGUUUUCAUCAGCAUAACUUCAACCAGCGAGAGAAUCUUUACCAAUAAAUAAAUUAGUCUUUGCUGUCUGCCUCAUAUUCUAAGUCUUUUCUUUGUUCUAGUUUCUGUCUUCCAAUUUUCUUCUUUACUAAGAUGUUUAUAGUUAUUUUCUCCUAAUUGGCAAUUAUUUUAUAUUGUGUAGUACUAGAAGUGUGCUAGGCAAUAGCAAACAUUUUACAUCUCCAACUAUUUAAAUUUCCAAUACACUUUAUUUCACUUAGCAAUUUUAGAAUUUAUCAUUUAGCUUUACCAACUGCACACUAGAAUCCUUGAAUUCUGUUCAAUUUACUCCACAGCUUUGUUAUAUUGCUUGACAUCCCUCUGUAUAAAACAUGCUGUCAUUUAAAUUAUGGAUGCUUCCGCUGCUUCUUUGUAGCACUUACUCUUUUAAGUUUUACAGUGUACACCUUCAGGUAAAAUAAAUUCAACUUUGCUUAGUGUGAUCAAAGAGCAGGCAAGGCUUCAACUGGAGUGAAGAUCAGCUUCAUAUUUAGUGCUGUCAACGCACAGGUUGUAUUAUCUGGAUUGUUC